rnacentral:rRNA from 1 species
AGUUAGCCGGCGCUUCUUCUGCAGGUACAGUCACUUUCGCUUCGUCCCUGCUGAAAGAGGUUUACAACCAAGGCCGUCAUCCCUCACGCGGCGUUGCUGCGUCAGGCUUUCGCCCAUUGCGCAAUAUUCCCCA